rnacentral:tRNA from 1 species
CGGGGCGUGGCGCAGCCUGGCUAGCGCGCUUGGUUCGGGACCAAGAGGCCGCGAGUUCGAAUCUCGCCGCCCCGA